GCAGCUGGCUGGCAUGGAAGAUAGACACUGUUACAAAUUCUUUACCACAAAAGAGGAACGCUGCACAGAGGUGGUCAAGAACCCAGAUACAGGAAAGCACCUAGCACAUGUACAACCCCAUUGUCCCCGAAACUGCCUUGGCUAUGGGACUUCUUUGGCUGGUGGGAAGUUGCUGAGGGAACGGGGGAACGGGUUACUUCCAUACAGAGUUGUAACAGCCUGUCUGUGAUCUGCUGUCCCCCAUUACCUGCCUCAGUGAUGGUGGGAGUGUGUGUCUCGAUCCUGUGGGCGGGCGGGCGGGUGCCUGAGCGACUAUGAGAAGCAGAGCCCUCUGCUGACCUGAACUAGAGAUGCACAAAAAGGAAGGAACGGUGGCUAAAGGAUAAACAGCGUGACAUCAAUCUCAGCUCAAACGUGUGCUCUACGGAGGGGACCCUGGACGAUCAAGGUGUCAACAGCGCUCUCGGCCUGGGCCCCCAGGAGGGAAGCUACACAUACAAUGUGACACGCAUAUCUGAUAGGUAUCGCACUCGGGGAGAGCGGGAGUAAAAAUGAAAUCCCCUCCAAAAAUGUAUUUCAUGUGAGCUAUUAAACGAACUCUGUUUUUCUUUGAAAGUGGUUAAUAGGAAGGUAAACUAGAAAAGACAUUUGGGGACCCAAC